ACAAGCAUGUGAUGAUAUAAAGAAAGAAAUAAUUCAGAGACAGCUAGAGGUUAAAACAUUGAAAGAAGAUUUAGAUACAUCUAAUAGACAAGCAUGGAUAGUAAAGAAUAUGAAAAGCUCACUGAAAAAUAGGAAAAUCUUCAGGGUGAUUUGGUACAAAAUUCUGGAAACAAAGUGAUCCCUCGGAAGCAUUAAUAACAACAAAAUAACAUAAGAAUUGCAGACUCGGUUUGAUUGAGUCUGUACAUGAGGGAUAAUGAAUAAGUGCAACAUCCCUCACGCCCCCUAGCACCGGCUUGAGCGGUACUCAAUUCUCAACACUUUAUAGUGUUGGCAUCAAUGAUCCCGAAGGACCAGAAAAUAUAACAACACUGAAGUGUGUACAAGUUAACACCAAACCAGAAUGCAAAAGAAGCUGAUAAACUGGGAAGAAAAAAGAUUGAGCUAACUGCUGAAAAUCUACCCAGACUCACUAACAUUACCUGUUUAAGACUGAGUUUAUAGAUUUAAAAAACAACAUUAACCAGCUUUCAUCAGUUUAGAAUGAUAACAUUCUAUGUGUAUAUAUAUCAGAAUUCUGUAACAGCUGUUGAGCAUGUUAAACUAGAGGCUAGUGCAGCAGAGGAGCAGAAUUUAUUGUAUGAACAAAGUGAUCUUAGAAUUGAAGUGGUUGAACUCACGAGACUGGCUGCUAUUAAGGCUGAUGAAAGGGAACAGAAAGCUUGAGAUUUCAUGCGUGCUGAGAUGAGAUUUCACAAAGCUGUUGAGGAUCUAAAAACUAAACAGUUACAAAUACAAGAUCAUGAGAAAAAAACAUAAGGAGAUGC